rnacentral:rRNA from 1 species
GACAGAGGGUGCAAACGUUGCUCGGAAUCACUGGGCGUAAAGGGCGUGUAGGCGGCCUUCUAAGUCGGACGUGAAAUCCCUCGGCUCAACCGAGGAACUGCGUCCGAUACUGAAAGGCUUGAAUCCGGGAGAGGGAUGUGGAAUUCCAGGUGUAGCGGUGAAAUGCGUAGAUAUCUGGAGGAACACCGGUGGCGAAGGCGGCAUCCUGGACCGGCAUUGACGCUGAGGCGCGAAAGCUAGGGGAGCAAACGGG